rnacentral:rRNA from 1 species
GAUGAACGCUGGCGGCGUGCCUAAUACAUGCAAGUCGAGCGAACGGACGAGAAGCUUGCUUCUCUGAUGUUAGCGGCGGACGGGUGAGUAACACGUGGAUAACCUACCUAUAAGACUGGGAUAACUUCGGGAAACCGGAGCUAAUACCGGAUAAUAUUUUGAACCGCAUGGUUCAAAAGUGAAAGACGGUCUUGCUGUCACUUAUAGAUGGAUCCGCGCUGCAUUAGCUAGUUGGUAAGGUAACGGCUUACCAAGGCAACGAUGCAUAGCCGACCUGAGAGGGUGAUCGGCCACACUGGAACUGAGACACGGUCCAGACUCCUACGGGAGGCAGCAGUAGGGAAUCUUCCGCAAUGGGCGAAAGCCUGACGGAGCAACGCCGCGUGAGUGAUGAAGGUCUUCGGAUCGUAAAACUCUGUUAUUAGGGAAGAACAUAUGUGUAAGUAACUGUGCACAUCUUGACGGUACCUAAUCAGAAAGCCACGGCUAACUACGUGCCAGCAGCCGCGGUAAUACGUAGGUGGCAAGCGUUAUCCGGAAUUAUUGGGCGUAAAGCGCGCGUAGGCGGUUUUUUAAGUCUGAUGUGAAAGCCCACGGCUCAACCGUGGAGGGUCAUUGGAAACUGGAAAACUUGAGUGCAGAAGAGGAAAGUGGAAUUCCAUGUGUAGCGGUGAAAUGCGCAGAGAUAUGGAGGAACACCAGUGGCGAAGGCGACUUUCUGGUCUGUAACUGACGCUGAUGUGCGAAAGCGUGGGGAUCAAACAGGAUUAGAUACCCUGGUAGUCCACGCCGUAAACGAUGAGUGCUAAGUGUUAGGGGGUUUCCGCCCCUUAGUGCUGCAGCUAACGCAUUAAGCACCCCGCCUGGGGAGUACGACCGCAAGGUUGAAACUCAAAGGAAUUGACGGGGACCCGCACAAGCGGUGGAGCAUGUGGUUUAAUUCGAAGCAACGCGAAGAACCUUACCAAAUCUUGACAUCCUUUGACAACUCUAGAGAUAGAGCUUUCCCCUUCGGGGGACAAAGUGACAGGUGGUGCAUGGUUGUCGUCAGCUCGUGUCGUGAGAUGUUGGGUUAAGUCCCGCAACGAGCGCAACCCUUAAGCUUAGUUGCCAUCAUUAAGUUGGGCACUCUAAGUUGACUGCCGGUGACAAACCGGAGGAAGGUGGGGAUGACGUCAAAUCAUCAUGCCCCUUAUGAUUUGGGCUACACACGUGCUACAAUGGACAAUACAAAGGGCAGCGAAACCGUGAGGUCGAGCAAAUCCCAUAAAGUUGUUCUCAGUUCGGAUUGUAGUCUGCAACUCGACUACAUGAAGCUGGAAUCGCUAGUAAUCGUAGAUCAGCAUGCUACGGUGAAUACGUUCCCGGGUCU